CAAAUAUAGCUGAGGCAGCAAGCAGAGUGUGAGGAAUUCUUUGUGAGGUGGAGUUCUCUAUGUGUUAAAGGGGUGAGGGGAAGCUAUAAGGGACUGAACCAGCAAGCGGCAAAGGGCAGGCCCAGAGCCAUUAUUGCUGGAGCAUGAAGUCCAUCACGUCAUUAGGAAAGCCCCCCUAGGCCUCUACUCCGUAAUAAGGCCAGGACUCUCCUCACCAUCUGCACAUCAGAGCUGGCUGAGGCCUUCGUUUGUUUACAGAUUGAUCCUAAUCAGAUCCUGGCUUGGAAGGAUGCUCUUCUCACUUUAGCAAAGACAGCUUCUACUUAUACUUUAGGACAUUGGCUUUCCACCUGCCAGUCCCCACAAAGAGAAAAUACCAGAGCGCAUCCAACAUAAGUAAAGAAAAGAGCAAGUCUUGGCUCCUGCACUUAAGAAGCUCUGAAUCUCGGGGUGAAGAGACGAACAUACCACUGGGGCACUAGUUUAGCUUCCCAUCCCUGGACUCAGACUGAAGGAGCACCUCUCAUCUAGCUGGGCUACUCCCACAGCAGAGAGAAGAAACACAGAAGACUGAACCAAGCCACACGGGACAGUUAAAUCUUGGGCUUGGAUGUGGCAUAUGUCACUGCUCCUCACCUUCUAUUGGCUAAAGCAAGUCUCGUGGCCAGCCCAGGCUGUGGGAUGGGGAAAUCUCCUCCUCCAAAGAGUGUGUAAUGAACAUGGGAUGUUUAACACUGAUACUGGGGAGGAGUUGAUAACUGGGAAUGGGGUUAUUAUGUGCUAAACUGUCC
rnacentral:lncRNA from 1 species